UACAGAGGGUGCAAGCGUUGUUCGGACUUAUUGGUCGUAAAGCGCGUGUAGGCGGCUUAGCAAGUCGGGCGUGAAAGCCCUCGGCUCAACCGAGGAAGUGCACCCGAAACUGCUGAGCUUGAGUGCCGGAGAGGAUGGCGGAAUACCCCAAGUAGAGGUGAAAUUCGUAGAUAUGGGGAGGAACACCGGUGGCGAAGGCGGCCACCUGGACGGUAACUGACGCUGAGACGCGAAAGCGUGGGUAGCAAACAGG
rnacentral:rRNA from 1 species